UCCUCGGUGCCUCAGGUGGAUAGAGAAUCUACCUUGUAAGCAGAAGGUCCCGGGUUCGAGUCCCGGUCGGGGCA